UUUUACUUCUCCACAGAGGGUGUGGCCUGCUUCUCAGCGAGACGUAUUAUAUCUUUCUGCCAUUCGAAAGAUAUCAGCCUUGACUGAAAAUGACCCUGAAACUUGGAUAGUUUGUAAUUUUUCUGUGGAUCAUGACAGUGCUCCUCUAAACAACCGAUGUGUCCGUGCCAAAAUAAAUGUUGCUAUGAUUUGUCAAACCUUGGUAAGCCCACCAGAGGGAAACCAGGAAAUUAGCAGGGACAACAUUCUAUGCAAGAUUACAUAUGUAGCUAAUGUGAACCCUGGAGGAUGGGCACCAGCCUCAGUGUUAAGGGCAGUGGCAAAGCGAGAGUAUCCUAAAUUUCUAAAACGUUUUACUUCUUACGUCCAAGAAAAAACUGCAGGAAAGCCUAUUUUGUUCUAGUAUUAACAGUGACUGAAGCAAGGCUGUGUGACAUUCCAUGUUGGAGAAAAAAAGAAAAAAAAAAAGCUGAAUGCUCUAAGCUGGAACGUAGGAUCUAUAGCCUUGUCUGUGGCCCAAGACCUUGGCCUUGUGUACAAAAAUGACAAAAUACUGCAAUAGCAAAGCUGAACAUCUAACACUAGCUAUCUCCUGCUAGAUCUCCUUGCUCAGCAUAUAACUAUAAAUACAUGUAAAAUUACAUGUAUAUGGCUAUAUUUUUAUUUGCUUGCUCCUAGAAGAGAAAAAAAAAUCAACUUUGAAUCACAACUAGGAAUUGAUGCUUUAAUUUUUGGAUACUUUUCCAGAAUUUUUAAUUUACUAUGGUCCGGCCUAAGAUCCUCUGUUGUAUCAGGUUUUGUGCACAAAAGAAAAGCACAAAAGUUGAACGCACAUGGGGCAUGUGCUUUCUGUGCAGCAAAUAUCUGGAUGAGGUUCUUUUUUCAGGCCUACAGUCAAAUCUGUGUCCAGAAUUUUUUGACUUUUUUGCUUUGUAUAAUCAUAGAAUUCGUUGCUGCUGAUUUCUAUAAUGAUUCAUGUUGUCGUGUGUCUCUUAAUAACUGAGGGCUGUCAAUAACCUGUGAUUUUGCCUUUUCUAUAGUCUUACUCCCAUGAAGAACCUUGGUUCUGAUGGAGAAAGUGAAAAGCUUUAUUUCUUCCCCCAGAUAUCUUUAUAUUUCUAUUAUAUUUUUUAGUUGUGUACUGUGUGCUAGAUAUUUUUUUCAGUUUAUUACAAACACAAUUUGGUAAGCCCUAAAUUGGUUCUGCCUGUCUCCAAACAGAAAUAUCCGUACAAAUCUUGUUGGUAUAGACUACUUUCUGGAAAAUGGUCAAGAUAAGUUCAUGUUUUCUUUAAAUUUCUAAGAUAGUAUAUGGUAUAACUUGUUUAAAGCAAAUCAGACUGAGUUUGACAUUUAAUUCAAUAUUUCUGGUAUUCAGUAACGGGUAUAUAUGUUUGUUCUUCCAGUUUGGGUCAGUUUAAAAGAUAGGUUGCAAAGUAUACAUGGAAAAUGUGAGCAGUGCCUCUCUGCCUCUUGAUCAGAAACUUCAGCAGAGCAGUAAAGAUUCCACAUGAUUCAAACUGAAAUGAGUUUCUUUGUUGCUAUAUGAACUUAAAAUGUAAAAUACCUUUUUCAGUUUAAGUCCUGUGAACAACAUUGAAGCAUGGAGAUGAGGCAAGGAAUAGUACUCACUGAAGUUGAAAUGACUGCCCACUUCAAAAUCUUCAUUGUGUUUACACACCAGUGUAUUUAUACAAAUCAGAGGCAUUUUGUAGAUGCUUUGCUGACUUGUUCAGCUCUGUAAAAACACAGAAAUUGGACCCAUUUUGUAAAGCAGAAAGUUAUGUCACAUGGAACAUUUCCUGUAUAUAUCACAUACAUGGUAAUGGAGUCUUAAUGAUAAGUGCAAGAUAAUAAUUUAAUGAUGGGAUUAGUCUGAUCGCUUAAUAUGCACAAUCCUGGAAGUGAAUUACUUGCAUCAGAUAUAGUGAUAUUUAUUAUUCUGUACAGAGAGAAAAAUACAUAUAAAACAUAUGCUUACAUUACAUGCACGCAGAUUUCACGCUCCAUAAUCUUUUCUAUUUUUUAAUUUACCUAUCUGUAAAUGAUGUGCAUGGAAUAUGCCUUAUAGAAAAAUGCUGUUCAUAAUUUGACUACGUGGAAAAGUGCCUAUAUGGUGGUAAUGCUAGUAAGGCAAAUAAGACAAAUUAUCAUGUUGGUUUACUACAUCACCAGUUAACAUUUUAUAUUGUGAUGUUUAAAAAAGAAAAGUUUAUACCUCAAAUGUGUAUUUUAUUUUACAAUCAGCUGUGGGUUAUGGGGCUGGGAUGGGAGAAUGGGAGGGUUGGGGAGGGCAGGUUUAUUCACCAUAGCCACUGAUAAGAAUCUUCAAAAAAAUUCUGUAUGCUCACUACAAAUGUUUCUCUGUUUGCCAUUUCUGGUAACUGUCAUGAACACAGACAGUUAACUCUUUCAUUACUAAAUUGGAUAGCUUUAUUUUACAGAAGUAUGGAAAGUUUACAAAGCAAUAUCUAAAUCUAUCACUAGUUGCAUUUGGACUAAAUGUGAUGAUAUACUUUUGCAAUUGAUUCUGUAAAUAAAAUGAUUACACUAAAAUAUUUGUAUUAAAAGAAAAGAUAACAUUUUACCUUUAGAUAACUGCACUUGUACUUCACUAGAGUUAAUCCCACCCAAUCAGAUUGAGAAAUAAAUUGGUGAAUAUGGAAAGAGUCCAAAAGAGGUCAGAAUUUGGAGAGGUACUGGCCUUCUGGACAACAUUUAGAUCCUCUAGAAUUAUUUUCAUUAAGCUGAUUCCUACAUCCUGAAUAUUCAUGUUUUCUCAUCUACAGAUAUUUGUCUUCCCCCAAACCAAAAGAAAAAACUACCCUUUACUCUCUUUUCUACUCAGUUUAUCUUUUGUGCUAUGUUAGAAACUUGAAAUAUAUUGGUGAUGUGGGGUGUUAUCCCUGACUGCCGCUGCACAGGACAAGAGAGCACAGUGUUUCAGCUGGAAUUCAGGACUCCUCGUUUUGAGGUAGAGGAUGAUCACUGCAGUACUUGGUUUGGUAUUGCCACAGGGGUAACUAAACCAAAGGAGGGUUUUAUCUGCAAGGGAGGUGUAAGAAGGCAAAAUAAGGAAAAGGAGGAAUGGAUUUUCUCUUUGUUCAGUUUCAUCAACUAAUUUAUACACCUAAUACAACGUCAGUGUCAACUGCUAUUAAGAAAUUUUUAGUUGGGCUGAGCUGGUUCUCUUGUGAAAUUGUGCUGGUUAUCUUUAAGCUGAUCAGUUAUUUGUCCAGUUAAACACUUUUCACCAGUAUUUAGUCCGAGUUGUACAGACGAUGUAUUUGGAUUUUGUCAUGGUUCAUCUACAGACUGAAAACAUAAUCAUUUUAAAGUACCUUGGGAGUGUGUAGAGUAACUUCUAUAAUAGCUUUAUGAUCCUGAUGAUGUUUUUUAAACAUAAUAAAGUUGGAUCUUCCAUGUUACAAUCACAAAAUUAAAACCAGUAUUUAAAGUGGAAAAGUAUUAAAAUAUUAUGGACAAAUA